GAUGAACGCUGGCGGCGUGCCUAAUACAUGCAAGUCGAGCGAACAGACGAGGAGCUUGCUCCUCUGACGUUAGCGGCGGACGGGUGAGUAACACGUGGAUAACCUACCUAUAAGACUGGGAUAACUUCGGGAAACCGGAGCUAAUACCGGAUCAUAUAUUGAACCGCAUGGUUCAAUAGUGAAAGACGGUUUUGCUGUCACUUAUAGAUGGAUCCGCGCCGCAUUAGCUAGUUGGUAAGGUAACGGCUUACCAAGGCAACGAUGCGUAGCCGACCUGAGAGGGUGAUCGGCCACACUGGAACUGAGACACGGUCCAGGCUCCUACGGGAGGCAGCAGUAGGGAAUCGUCCGCAAUGGGCGAAAGCCUGACGGAGCAACGCCGCGUGAGUGAUGAAGGUCUUCGGAUCGUAAAACUCUGUUAUUAGGGAAGAACAAAUGUGUAAGUAACUAUGCACAUCUUGACGGUACCUAAUCAGAAAGCCACGGCUAACUACGUG
rnacentral:rRNA from 1 species